GAUGAAGAACGUAGCGAAAUGCGAUACGUAAUGCGAAUUGCAGAAUUCAGUGAAUCAUCGAGUCUUUGAACGCACAUUGCGCCCGGUAGUAUUCUGCCGGGCAUGCCUGUUCGAGCGUCAUUUCAACCAUCAAGCCCCAGCGCUUGUGUUGGGGGCCUGCGGCUGCCGCAGCCCCCUAAAAGCAGUGGCGGGCUCGCUAUCACACCGAGUGCAGUAGUUCAUCUUCUCUCCGGUCUUGUGAGGCGGGUUCCGGCCGUGAAACACCCCACUACAUUCAAGGUUGACCUCGGAUCAGGUAGGAAUACCCGCUGAACUUAAGCAUAUCAAUAAGCGGAGGA
rnacentral:misc_RNA from 1 species